GCGCGCCGAGGACCUGUGCGAGUUCCCCUUGCUGUACUCGACGACACGGCCCGAGUCGUGGCGGCAGUGGUUCGAUGCCGCGGGCGUGCC
rnacentral:tRNA from 1 species